CAAUGGAAAAAUUUGUGAGGAAGGGGACCCAAAAUUAUUUUUUAUGGGUGUCUUUGUGCGACUUUUUGAAGUACAAAUAAUUCUAAGAGCAUUCACACAACACAAUCAAAGUAAUAUUAGAGAGGGGGAAUUCGAACAUAUGACCACAAAUGUAGGGCUAACUACUCUUGACCACUUGAGAUUGUGCAGAUUUAAAGGAGCUGGCUUUUGAGGGCAACUCUCACACGUGAUCUUCCUCUAUGUCUAUUUGUUUGCAGAAUCUCAAUCCUCAGCACGAUGAAUGUUGCAAAGAGUUUCAUAGUAACUAAACAACACAGAAAACAACAAAAGAGCUGAAACAAAUAAUCAAAAUGAAAAAAAAACAAUAAGUUCUAGAAGCUCCAUCUUGAUCCACAUCACCAGCCUUAUCUUCAACUGAUCCUCAUCUCCCAAGAUCAGCAGAAAGAUUUUGACUAGAAAUUACUUCAAUUUAAAGCAUUUCUUAGGGCUUCAGCAUGACCCAUGAGAGCAGCAUAACUAAUGCCUUCAAUAGAAUCCCCUAUAUCGUUAUUAUUGUGUUACUAAUUCACAUGUUAUGUUAUAUGUGAAUGCUACAUAUAUAAAAUCAUGAGUGGAAAUGAGUGGACGCGGUAUGACAUUCGAAAAUCUUCCCCCAUUUCACAUCCAACUUCCACUUAAUUUAAGUAGGACCAGUCCGAUGCUGCCACUGAAAUGCACAACAUAUUAGAGGUUGCCCGGUAAACUUCCUGUUGAAACUUUAUUAAUUCGUGGGUUCUUCUAGUAGCCCUUAGCCAGCUCUCUCUCUCUCUCUCUCUCUCUCUCUCUCUAGAUCAAAACGUUUUUAACAUUGCCCCCAUUGCUUAGCUGCUUAAAACUACAAACCCGCACGUCUCUGUGCUAAGAAAAUUAUCACAUCCUGAAACUGGUCAAAUUCCUCAGACAGUUUGGAUACAUUUAUUCUAAGAAAAUUCCAGACAUCCUAAUUCCAAGACCCAAGUAAACAUUUAUAGAAGCAAACGCAAGUUUAUGCUUCAAUUUGUUACCACACAACAUGCAUGGCAUAAUUCUUUUUCGAUAUUUAUAUAUACUUGCCAGAAAAGGAAUUUAUUCCCAUGAUGUGGCCCAAUUACAUUUCUUUUAAAUGGAAAAGAUAAAUAAAGGAAAAACACUAUAG